rnacentral:rRNA from 1 species
AAUUUUCUGCAAUGGGCGAAAGCCUGACAGAGCAAUACCGCGUGAGGGAAGAAAGCCCACAGGGUUGUAAACCUCUUUUGUCAAGGAAGAAGUUCUGACGUUACUUGACGAAUAAGCAUCGGCUAACUCCGUGCCAGCAGCCGCGGUAAGACGGGGGAUGCAAGUGUUAUCCGGAAUCACUGGGCGUAAAGCGUUUGUAGGUGGUUUAGUAAGUCUAUUGUUAAAGCUUGAAGCUUAACUUCAAAAAUGUAAUAGAAACUACUAGACUUGAGGAUAGUAGGGGUAAAGGGAAUUUCCAGUGGAGCGGUGAAAUGCGUAGAGAUUGGAAGGACCACCGAUGGCGAAGGCACUUUACUGGGCUAUCUCUGACACUAAGAGACGAAAGCUAGGGUAGCGAAUGGGAUUAGAUACCCCAGUAGUCCUAGCUGUA